GUUCCUAUGGCUCAGUUGGCGUCGCAUGGCACUAGUGAUGCCAAGGUUGUGGGUUUGAUUCCCAGGGAACA
rnacentral:tRNA from 1 species